UACCAGCACCCCGAGUGGUCGGGACGAUUAUUGGGCCUAAAGCAUCCGUAGCCGGUUCUGCAAGUCCCCCGUUAAAUCCACCUGCUUAACAGAUGGGCCGCGGAGGAUACUAUAAGACUAGGAGGCAGGAGAGGCAAGCGGUACUCAGUGGGUAGGGGUAAAAUCCGUUGAUCCAUUGAAGACCACCAGUGGCGAAGGCGGCUUGCCAGAAUGCGCUCGACGGUGAGGGAUGAAAGCUGGGGGAGCAAACCGG
rnacentral:rRNA from 1 species